rnacentral:rRNA from 1 species
GCAGUCGAGCGGAAGAUGGGAGCUUGCUCCCUGAUGUUAGCGGCGGACGGGUGAGUAACACGUGGGUAACCUGCCUGUAAGACUGGGAUAACUCCGGGAAACCGGGGCUAAUACCGGAUGGUUGUUUGAACCGCAUGGUUCAAACAUAAAAGGUGGCUUCGGCUACCACUUACAGAUGGACCCGCGGCGCAUUAGCUAGUUGGUGAGGUAAUGGCUCACCAAGGCAACGAUGCGUAGCCGACCUGAGAGGGUGAUCGGCCACACUGGGACUGAGACACGGCCCAGACUCCUACGGGAGGCAGCAGUAGGGAAUCUUCCGCAAUGGACGAAAGUCUGACGGAGCAACGCCGCGUGAGUGAUGAAGGUUUUCGGAUCGUAAAGCUCUGUUGUUAGGGAAGAACAAGUACCGUUCGAAUAGGGCGGUACCUUGACGGUACCUAACCAGAAAGCCACGGCUAACUACGUGCCAGCAGCCGCGGUAAUACGUAGGUGGCAAGCGUUGUCCGGAAUUAUUGGGCGUAAAGGGCUCGCAGGCGGUUUCUUAAGUCUGAUGUGAAAGCCCCCGGCUCAACCGGGGAGGGUCAUUGAAAACUGGGGAACUUGAGUGCAGAAGAGGANAGUGGAAUUCCACGUGUAGCGGUGAAAUGCGUANAGAUGUGGAGGAACACCNGUGGCGAAGCGACUCU